rnacentral:rRNA from 1 species
UACGUAGGGUGCGAGCGUUAAUCGGAAUUACUGGGCGUAAAGUGUGCGCAGGCGGCCGAGCAAGUCGAGUGUGAAAGCCCCGAGCUUAACUUGGGAACUGCGCUCGAAACUACUUGGCUAGAGUGUGGCAGAGGGAGGUGGAAUUCCACGUGUAGCGGUGAAAUGCGUAGAGAUGUGGAGGAACACCGAUGGCGAAGGCAGCCUCCUGGGCCUUACCUGACGCUGAGAGACGAAAGCUAGGGGAGCAAAUGGG